rnacentral:misc_RNA from 1 species
UCUCCGUAGGUGAACCUGCGGAGGGAUCAUUACAGAGUUCUCGCCCUCACGGGUAGAUCUCCCACCCACUGUUAUCGUUACUGUCGUUUCUUUGGCGGGCCGCCGGGUCCCCGGCCGCCGGCGCCUAGCUGCCGGCGCGCGCCCGCCAGAGGCCUUCAAACUCUGAAUGUUAGUGUCGUCUGAGUACUAUAUAAUAGUUAAAACUUUCAACAACGGAUCUCUUGGUUCUGACAUCGAUGAAGAACGCAGC